rnacentral:lncRNA from 1 species
CUCUCCAUUAGAGAAAAAAACUUACCUUUGAUGGCGACAACAUCCUAGAUUUGCGUUGUUUGAUGGCGACAACAAAUGAGUGACAUAAUUUACGCAUUUAAACCGUACAUUUUAUAAUAAUUCAUAUACGGUACACAUUGUUGUCUCUGUCUAACUAAUAAAAAAGUCAUGAAUGUCGUUAUUAAUAAAAGUGGCGAAAUCAAUUAUUUGAUUAUAUAUGAGAAAUGUUUUUCAAACAUACUAAAUAGACUAGUAUUUUAGACCUUGUUGGCCAUAGACAGUGUUGCAUGCAAAUACUAUGGG